GACAGAGGGUGCAAACGUUGCUCGGAAUUACUGGGCGUAAAGCGCGUGUAGGCGGACCACCAAGUCGGACGUGAAAGCCCUGAGCUCAACUCAGGAACUGCAUCCGAAACUGGCGGUCUGGAGUAGUGGAGAGGAAAGCAGAAUUCCUGGUGUAGAGGUGAAAUUCGUAGAUAUCAGGAGGAACACCGGUGGCGAAGGCGGCUUUCUGGACACUUACUGACGCUGAGACGCGAAAGCGUGGGGAGCGAACAGG
rnacentral:rRNA from 1 species